GAUGAAGAACGUAGCGAAAUGCGAUAAGUAAUGUGAAUUGCAGAAUUCAGUGAAUCAUCGAAUCUUUGAACGCACAUUGCGCCCGCCAGUAUUCUGGCGGGCAUGCCUGUCAGAGCGUCAUUUCAACCCUCAUGCCCCUAGGGCGUGGUGUUGGGGAUCGGCCAAAGCCCGCGAGGGACGGCCGGCCCCUAAAUCUAGUGGCGGACCCGUCGUGGCCUCCUCUGCGAAGUAGUGAUAUUCCGCAUCGGAGAGCGAUGAGCCCCUGCCGUUAAACCCCCAACUUUCCAAGGUUGACCUCAGAUCAGGUAGGAAUACCCGCUGAACUUAAGCAUAUCAAUAAGCGGAGGA
rnacentral:misc_RNA from 1 species